rnacentral:rRNA from 1 species
GCCAGACUCCUACGGGAGGCAGCAGUGGGGAAUAUUGCACAAUGGGCGAAAGCCUGAUGCAGCGACGCCGCGUGAGUGAAGAAGUAUUUCGGUAUGUAAAGCUCUAUCAGCAGGGAAGAAAAUGACGGUACCUGACUAAGAAGCCCCGGCUAACUACGUGCCAGCAGCCGCGGUAAUACGUAGGGGGCAAGCGUUAUCCGGAUUUACUGGGUGUAAAGGGAGUGUAGGUGGCAUAACAAGUCAGAAGUGAAAGCCCGGGGCUCAACCGCGGGACUGCUUUUGAAACUGUGCAGCUAGAGUGCAGGAGAGGUAAGUGGAAUUCCUAGUGUAGCGGUGAAAUGCGUAGAUAUUAGGAGGAACACCAGUGGCGAAGGCGGCUUACUGGACUGUAACUGACGUUGAGGCUCGAAAGCGUGGGGAGCAAACAGGAUUAGAUACCCGCGUAGG